rnacentral:rRNA from 1 species
GUGGGGAAUCUUGCGCAAUGGGCGAAAGCCUGACGCAGCCAUGCCGCGUGAAUGAUGAAGGUCUUAGGAUUGUAAAAUUCUUUCACCGGGGACGAUAAUGACGGUACCCGGAGAAGAAGCUCCGGCUAACUUCGUGCCAGCAGCCGCGGUAAUACGAAGGGGGCUAGCGUUGCUCGGAAUUACUGGGCGUAAAGGGCGCGUAGGCGGACAGCUUAGUCAGAGGUGAAAGCCCAGGGCUCAACCUCGGAAUAGCGUUCGAUACUGGAUAUCUUGAGUACGGGAGAGGUGUGUGGAACUCCGAGUGUAGAGGUGAAAUUCGUAGAUAUUCGGAAGAACACCAGUGGCGAAGGCGACACACUGGCCCGUUACUGACGCUGAGGCGCGAAAGCGUGGGGAGCAAACAGGAUUAGAAACCCUAGUAGUCC